GAUGAAGGCAAAGUUUUGGCCUGACUGGAACGAAUGUAUAACCGAAGGUUGGACGAGAACAGCUUCUAAAUAAUUAUGACCUGUGAAAAAUGCAUUAGAACACUUAGAGCUACAGUGGUUGGCCAUAAAUGAGUUCGCAAAAUAGCCGACGUUUACGUAGGUCUCGUCAUCAGCUGAAUUUUUUGGACCAAUUAUUUAUAACACUAAGUAAAAAUGACUUAACAGACAUAUAUGUUACUGUGUAUUAUAUCCUUGGGAGUGAAUUAAUCAUAGAAUUUUCCAGGUUUAGCGAUGUACAGGCUUUGUAUUGAAUAAAACGGGAGACUACUCGAAAUGU
rnacentral:misc_RNA from 1 species